GACAGAGGGUGCAAACGUUGUUCGGAAUUACUGGGCGUAAAGCGAGUGUAGGCGGUUCGAUAAGUCGGAUGUGAAGCCCGGGCUCAACCCGGGAAGUGCACUCGAUACUGUCGAGCUAGAGUAUCGGAGAGGUUGGUGGAAUUCUCGGUGUAGAGGUGAAAUUCGUAGAUAUCGAGAGGAACACCGGUGGCGAAGGCGGCCAACUGGACGAAUACUGACGCUGAGACUCGAAAGCGUGGGGAGCAAACAGG
rnacentral:rRNA from 1 species